CUCCUUCAUGCUCCACGGUCUGUCCGCCCCUCACCUGCCCUGCGGACCGACCCCUCACGAGGAGACUCGGGUCAAUUUUGGCGAAAAAAAAACAUCCAAAAUCUCGUGUCGGGGAUUCCGGUCGGUCUCGAAGGCAGCAGCUGUUAGUUGUAAACAUCCUGUUUUGAGUUUUUAUUUUAUUUGUGUUGACCGUCCGCGAGGCGGGGAAAGACGGGAGGAUGGAUCCACUGGUUGCUGCGAUUGAUCAGGGCACGAGCUCGACGAGGUUUCUGGUGUUCAACGCAAAAACAGCUGAAGUGAUCAGUCAACACCAGGUCGAGAUCAACCAGAGCUUCCCAAAGGAGGGCUGGGUGGAGGAGGACCCCAAGGAGAUCAUGCAGUCUGUGUAUGAGUGCAUGGAAAGGACCUGUGAGAAACUGUGCGAGCGCAACAUCGACGUCUCCAACAUCAAAGCGGUGGGCGUGACCAAUCAGAGAGAGACGACCCUGGUUUGGGACAAAGAGACCGGAGAGCCGCUUUACAAUGCCAUCGUUUGGCUGGACCUGCGCACUCAGUCCACGGUCGAGCGGCUCAUCAACAAGGCGCCAGAAAUCAACAAGAAUCACCUCAAGCACAAGACGGGCCUUCCCAUCAGCACCUACUUCAGUGCAGUGAAGCUGCGUUGGCUGCUGGACAACGUGGAUGAAGUGGCUCAAGCCGUGAUGAGCGAGCGGGCCAUGUUUGGCACAGUGGACUCCUGGAUCAUCUGGUGUCUGACGGGGGGCAGGAACGGAGGGGUUCACUGCACAGACGUCUCAAACGCCAGCCGCACCAUGCUCUUCAACAUUCACACCAUGGACUGGGACCCUGAGCUCUGCAGGUACUUUGACGUUCCGAUGGAAAUCCUCCCCAAAGUCCGCAGCUCCUCUGAAAUCUACGGCUACAUGAAAUCCACCUCACUUGCAGGAGUUCCCAUCUCUGGAUGUCUUGGCGAUCAGUCAGCUGCUCUGGUUGGUCAGAUGUGUUUCAAAGAGGGACAGGCCAAAAACACGUAUGGGACCGGUUGCUUUCUGCUCAGACAUACAGGGACCAAGCCGGUGAUGUCCGAUCACGGCCUGCUCACCACAGUCGCCUACAAAAUGGGAAAAGACGAGCCUGCGUGCUACGCUCUCGAGGGCUCAGUUGCCAUCGCGGGGGCGGUGGUUCGGUGGCUGAAGGACAACAUGGGGAUUGUGAAGUCCUCCUCUGAGAUCGAGACGCUAGCAGCUGCAGCAGGCUCAUCUUAUGGCUGUUACUUUGUGCCGGCCUUCUCCGGGCUCUAUGCCCCCUACUGGGAGCCAAGUGCAAGAGGCAUCAUCUGCGGCCUCACUCAGUUCACAAACAGGAACCACUUGGCGUUUGCGGCGCUGGAGGCCGUCUGCUUUCAGACCAGAGAGAUCCUGGAUGCGAUGAACCAGGACAGCGGCGUGCCUCUGACGCAGCUGAAGGUGGACGGAGGCAUGACGGCCAACAGGUUACUGAUGCAGCUGCAGGCAGACAUCCUCUGCAUCCCCGUAGUCCGACCCACCAUGUCAGAGACCACAGCUCUGGGUGCAGCCAUGGCAGCAGGGGCAGCAGAGGGGGUGGAGGUGUGGAACCUGAGCCCCGAUCACCUCCCACACGUCACAAGUGAGAAGUAUGAACCUCAGAUCAACCUUGAAGAGAGCGAGUUCCGCUUCGCUCGCUGGAAGAAAGCCGUGCAGAAAGCCAUGAACUGGGAGACCACAGAGCCGUGCUGCAAUGCCAACGGUACACAUUCCUCUCUUUAUCGAACUCUUUAAGUGAAGCUAGAAGUUUUCGGAGCUGUUGUUUGGUAGCAGAUUGUUUUCUGAAGCUCGAGGUCUGAACCAGUGCAGGAGUCUGACUCUGAUCCAUGUUGGAUGCUUUCUUCUUCUUCUUCACUGACGACAGGUUUAGGAAAGAAGAUGAACAGCACCCCCUGGGGGGUCCCUCCCACUCCUCCUCCCACCAGAGCAGACCCCUAAGAUCACAAUCAGUAACCGAGCUACAAGACCUUCACGGGAACACGGACGAUUGUUAUGGAGCAACACUAAAAGAGGGAA